rnacentral:misc_RNA from 1 species
UUAAAGAGUAGGAGGAAGAGGGCUAAAUCUGAUGUUGAAGUCUCAGUGACCAAUAGGAUAAAAAGGGCAGCCAAAAUGCCAUCUAAAAUGGCGGAAGGAACUAUUGAAAGCAGCCUACAUGAUGCACGUGAUGGACAUCAUGGAAUNNNNNNGAAGUGGCUCAGUUAAGAAACAGAACUUACCAGAGGAAUUUGCUAAUUUGACACCCAUUGCUCAUCGAACUAGGAAUUCCUUGGUUGCCAC